AAGCCAGACACCGGGAGUACCAUUUUGGAGGCCGUUACAACUGUCCCGGGGUGAAAUAAUGGCGCCCGGAACCAUGGCGGUGGCAGAUCCGUCAGCCCACGUCUCUUCAAAGAUCUAGGAUGUUGCUUUAGGCGGUUACUGGAUGACCGGGAAAUUGCUCACGGCCUGCAGUUGACUGGAAGCAGAGGGCUAACCAGGCAGGAUCAGAAGCAAAAGCAACGAGAAUCCCGACUCCCUCCUUCACCAGCGAUGACCUUGGGAAAAGCACGUGUGUCUGACCUUCAAUUCCGUCUAUAUAAUGGGGAUGACGGUGUGCCCACAUCACAGGACUGG